rnacentral:rRNA from 1 species
CCAGCAUUCAGUUUGGGCGACUUUAAAGAGACUGCCGGUGUUAAGCCGGAGGAAGGUGGGGAUGACGUCAAGUCCUCAUGGCCUUUAUGCCCAGGGCUACACACGUGCUACAAUGGGUGGUACAAAGAGAUGCCAACUCGCGAGAGCGCGCCAAUCUCAGAAAGCCAUCCUCAGUUCGGAUUGGAGUCUGCAACUCGACUCCAUGAAGUUGGAAUCGCUAGUAAUCGCGGAUCAGCACGCCGCGGUGAAUACGUUCCCGGGCCUU